AACGAACGUUGGCGGCGUGGAUUAGGCAUGCAAGUCGAACGCGAAAGUCGGGCUUCGGUCCGACCGGUAGAGUGGCGAACGGGUGAGUAACGCGUGGGCAAUCUACCCUUGAGUGGGGAAUAACCAUUCCAACGAGUGGCUAAUUCCGCAUGUGUCCGUUUUGUCGCAUGGCGAGACGGGCAAAGGUGGGGACCCUUCGGGGCCUGCCGCUCGAGGAGGAGCCCGCGUCCCAUUAGCUUGUUGGCGGGGUAAUGGCCCACCAAGGCGACGAUGGGUAGCCGAUCUGAGAGGAUGACCGGCCACACUGGGACUGAGAUACGGCCCAGACUCCUACGGGAGGCAGCAGUCGAGAGGCUUCGGCAAUGGGGGAAACCCUGACCGAGCGACGCCGCGUGCGGGAUGAAGGCUUUCGGGUCGUAAACCGCUGUCAGGAGGGAAGAAUCCCCUCGGAUCAACACCCCGAGGGUUGACGGUACCUCCAAAGGAAGCUCCGGCUAACUCCGUGC
rnacentral:rRNA from 1 species